UUGAACGCUGGCGGCAUGCCUUACACAUGCAAGUCGAACGGUAGCACGGGGGCAACCCUGGUGGCGAGUGGCGAACGGGUGAGUAAUAUAUCGGAACGUACCCUGGAGUGGGGGAUAACGUAGCGAAAGUUACGCUAAUACCGCAUACGAUCUACGGAUGAAAGUGGGGGCUCGCAAGACCUCAUGCUCAUGGAGCGGCCGAUAUCUGAUUAGCUAGUUGGUGGGGUAAAGGCCUAUCAAGGCGACAAUCAGUAGCUGGUCUGAGAGGACGACCAGCCACACUGGGACUGAGACACGGCCCAGACUCCUACGGGAGGCAGCAGUGGGGAAUUUUGGACAAUGGGGGCAACCCUGAUCCAGCAAUGCCGCGUGAGUGAAGAAGGCCUUCGGGUUGUAAAGCUCUUUUGUCAGGGAAGAAACGGUGAUUUCUAAUACAGAUUGCUAAUGACGGUACCUGAAGAAUAAGCACCGGCUAACUACGU
rnacentral:rRNA from 1 species